CCUACGGGUGGCUGCAGUGGGGAAUAUUGCACAAUGGGGGAAACCCUGAUGCAGCAACGCCGCGUGAGUGAGGAAGUAUUUCGGUAUGUAAAGCUCUAUCAGCAGGGAAUAGAAAAGAAGGUACCUGAAAAAGAAGCCCCGGCUAACUACGUGCCAGCAGCCGCGGUAAUACGUAGGGGGCAAGCGUUAUCCGGAUUUACUGGGUGUAAAGGGAGCGUAGACGGAAAGGCAAGUCAGAAGUGAAAGCCCAAGGCUCAACCAUGGGACUGCUUUUGAAACUGUCAAACUAGAGUACGGGAGAGGUAAGAGGAAGUCCUAGUGUAGCGGUGAAAUGCGUAGAUAUUAGGAGGAACACCAGUGGCGAAGGCGGUCUGCUGGACAGCAACUGACGCUGAGGCGCGAAAGCGUGGGGAGCAAACAGGAUUAGAUACCCUUGUAGUC
rnacentral:rRNA from 1 species